ACCAUCACCGGCCCCCAGUCACUCCCUACAGGCGCCUGCUGUGCAUUAUUCAUGAAUGGAAGCAGUAUACGUAGUAGGUGUAAGGCAGCAGUCAGUGGGCAUGGUGGGACCCGCUCCUCUACGUCACAUUACACGGACUGACUACUGCCCCGGCAACACUGAGUAACGGUGUAUCCUAGCAACCAGCGUCCCCCUGCCUUUUCCGACAUGCCCUGCGACAGCGCUGCGUAACCACUCCUGCACGGAAUUCGGACUAUGCACUAUACUUCUGCCCGGGGGCAGUGGGCGCACACACACAGCCAGGGCUGGGCGUACAGCUUUAACCAGCACCGCACACUUCGCUAUGCUUCUGUUACACACCGCUAUUUUAAGCGAUUACUCCAUGUCCAUCAUCUGACUGUGCUGUCCUGGGGAGCUCAGACAGGGGUUACCGCAGGAGCCGCCGGGCGCACAGGAAGUGCGCAACGCAAGUGGGUGUCGUCAGAGGACCCGGCGUCCGCGGUGAGGGUCUGCACGAGGUGGGCAUUUCCAUGGCAACAAGACACCAGACGUGCAUCGCGCUAUACGCGAUGACGUCAUUUCACCGCGCCACAGCUGACGGGAGAUUGCCGCCCGACGGAUCCCGCCGGGAGGCGGUCCCCCGCCCGGCCCGCGCAUCGAGCACAAUGGUGGGGGUUAUAAGGUUACCGCAGGAGCCGCCGGGCGCACAGGAAGUGCAUGACGCAAGUGGGUGUCAGAGGACAAGGCGUCCGCGGUGAGGGUCUGCACGAGGUGGGGCAAUCUUCUAUGGAGAACACCUGUAUAGAAAGAAGAUACCCCUAUGUCUCCAUUGUGUACUAAAUGUUUAUUGCCAUCUGUAGACUUUAAAAUGUUUUUCUUUUUUUGUAAUUUUUGGCAUAAGUCAUUCUAUUUUAUAAUGCUUUUUGUAUAUUAUAUGGCAUUCUAUCAAUUGUAAAAAAUAUUUGUGUAUAAAAGAAAGUACUUCUGAAUUGGUAAUAUUGACUACAGGCUUCCUGAAUUGUUCUAAUAUUUCGUUAAUGCAAUAUUAGCCAGCCUGGAACACAUUUCUGGUGGAUCCUUAUGUCGCCAUGGUUUCCACUAGCUCUAUACAACUUCAGUUGGGAGACAAUGGGGGUAACUCCAAGUUGAUCGCAGCAGGAAAUGUUUUAGCAGUUGGGCAAAACCAUGUGCACUGCAGUGGGGGGCAGAUAUAACAUUUGCAGAGAGAAUUAGAUUUGGGUGGGUUAUUUUGUUUCUGUGCAGGGUAAAUACUGGCUGCUUUAUUUUUACACUGCAAUUUAGAUUGUAGAUUGAACACACCCCACCCAAAUCUAUCUCUUUCUGCACAUGUUAUAUCUGCCUCCCCUGCAGUGCACAUGGUUUUUUGCCCAACUGCUAACAAAGUUCCUGCUGCGAUCAACUUGGAAUUACCCCCUUGGAACGCAUGAUUCCGGCACAUGCUGUCUAAUCUUCCAGGAGCAUCCAGAUGCAUGAACUGUGUUACUUGAAAACCAUUGCCAGAUUGGUUAACCUUAUCUGUUAAAUAUAGGACAUUGGGCCAGAUUCAGAGAUGGAUGCCGUGAUGGUCUUGCGAUGGUGGUUGUAGUGUGGAUUAGUAUACAGAGAGAUUGACAGUGACCAUUUGCUGGCGGUAGGCACCUCAAUGCAAAUCCUGGUGACUGCACCAUUUCAAUAUUUUCUCAUAUUUGCUGCGAACAAAGAUGUAGCAAUGAUGAGCCACCUCUGAAUUAGGCCCAUUAGGAGAAACACACCAUCCACUGUAAUAAAAGUGUAAUAAUCAAGAUUUAAGAUUUAUUAAUCAAAACGUGUCAGAAGGAUUGGCAUAUCUACAGUACGGACAGGUUCCACAUGUGGUACCAACAUCGAAUACGUAGGAGGAAGGUCUGACAGAAUUCCAGAGCCUGUAGUUUCUCUUUAUAGGUUUUAUUAUUCCAGGUGUCUGGUACGCAUAUGUAUUUGCUUUGUUAUUUGCUCAUUCUUAUGUAUGUAACUGUAAUUUUAUCUGUUAUGGU